UGGCCUGGGGAGCAGGGCUUAGCUGCUUGUGAGCAGGGUCUGCACCAAGUCGUGUUCACAGUGGCUAAGUUCCGCCCCCCGGGCCC
ensembl:miRNA microRNA 27a